rnacentral:rRNA from 1 species
AACGAACGCUGGCGGCAUGCCUAACACAUGCAAGUCGAACGAUGCCUCCGGGCAUAGUGGCGCACGGGUGCGUAACGCGUGGGAAUCUGCCCUUGGGUUCGGAAUAACUCGCCGAAAGGCGAGCUAAUACCGGAUGAUGACGUAAGUCCAAAGAUUUAUCGCCCAAGGAUGAGCCCGCGUAGGAUUAGCUAGUUGGUGGGGUAAAGGCCCGCCAAGGCGACGAUCCUUAGCUGGUCUGAGAGGAUGAUCAGCCACACUGGGACUGAGACACGGCCCAGACUCCUACGGGAGGCAGCAGUGGGGAAUAUUAGACAAUGGGCGAAAGCCUGAUCCAGCAAUGCCGCGUGAGUGAUGAAGGCCUUAGGGUUGUAAAGCUCUUUUACCCGGGAUGAUAAUGACAGUACCGGGAGAAUAAGCUCCGGCUAACUCCGUG